UUCGAUUCUGACUCAGGACGAACGCUGGCGGCAUGCCUAACACAUGCAAGUCGAACGGGGGUAGCAAUACCCUAGUGGCGAACGGGUGAGUAACACAUAAGCAAUCUGCCCUUCACAGGGGGAUAACAGCGGGAAACUGCUGCUAAUACCGCAUAAGACCACGGUACCGCAUGGUACAGGGGUAAAAACGAAUCAGUGGUGAAGGAUGAGCUUAUGUCCCAUCAGCUAGUUGGUGAGAUAACAGCCCACCAAGGCGACGAUGGGUAGCCGACCUGAGAGGGUGAUCAGCCACACUGGAACUGAGACACGGUCCAGACUCCUACGAGAGGCAGCAGUGGGGAAUAUUGGGCAAUGGAAGGAAACUCUUACCCAGCAAUGCCGCGUGAGUGAAGAAGGUCUUCGGAUUGUAAAGCUCUUUGAUUGGGGACGAAGAAAGUGACGGUACCCAAAGAACAAGCCCCGGCUAACUACGUGCCAGCCGCCGC
rnacentral:rRNA from 1 species